rnacentral:misc_RNA from 1 species
GCUUUGAGAACUCUUGGUGGACUGCCACUAGCCAUAUAAAUGUUCCCUUUGUUACCCUCCAGUCCAUCAGGAACCUGAGAUAGCCAGUGGAGACUAUAAGACGAAUGGACAAAAUGCAGGCUAUUGGAAGGGNGAAUGGAAAAAAUGCAGGCUAUUGGAAGGGAAAACCCUGCCAUAAAAAGAACCAGGGACUCCAGUGAAAAAGAAGCCCAGUUCCAGCUUCCAAUUGUUUUUUCAUUCUUUCUUGGAACCCUGGCAAGGACCUGAAAAUGGUGUUGAAAUCAUUCCCCGGAAGGUCAUUCAAGAACACCUGAUAUUCUGGGGAUUGACGACCCAGCCUUCCACAAAGCUUGUCCACUACUUUGAUGAGUUCAGACACUGCAGAUAGAGUGUUUGGUCCUGAAGAACAUCCCAGGUCUGCGAUGGCUAGACUCUUUGGGUAGGUGCUAGAGUAGAGAUCGGAGAUGGCUUCCUCUGUGAUAGGCUUUGUCAUGGAUAUCACUUUUUGCUGAAGCAAUGAGUUUUUAGCAUAGCUGGUCUCUCCCAGUCCUCUAUUCAUGUGAAGAACUUGAACUACUUCCAUCUCUGUGUCUCUCUCUCUCUUGU